rnacentral:rRNA from 1 species
UACUAGAGUAGCACUCGCAUAUCAAUAAGCGGAGGAAAAGAAACUAACAAGGAUUCCCCUAGUUACGGCGAGUGAAGCGGGAAGAGCUCAAAUUUGAAAUCUUAAAGGGUUUCCCUUUACGAAUUGUAGUUUAAAGAAGUGUUUUCUGUUGAGGUUUUGGUAAAAGUUCUUUGGAAUAGGACAUCAUAGAGGGUGAGAAUCCCGUAUUUGACCUUUACUUUCAACUUUGUGAUACACUUUCAAAGAGUCGGAUUGUUUGGGAAUGCAGUCCAAAAUGGGUGGUAAAUUUCAUCUAAAGCUAAAUAUUGGCGAGAGACCGAUAGCGAACAAGUACCGUGAGGGAAAGAUGAAAAGAACUUUGAAAAGAGAGUUAAACAGUACGUGAAAUUGUCAAAAGGGAAGCGUUUGACACCAGUGUUGUUUUUCUGAAAAUCAAUUAAAGAACUGUUUAUGCUAAGCUGUUUAGACUUUAUCAGCUAUCUGUUUAGUUUUGAGCUUUUCUUUAAUGCACUUUUCAGUUAACAAGUCAACAUCAAUUUCUUUUGCUGUAAAAAAGCUUGAGGAAGGUGGCUUGAGAUUCGUCUUAAGUGUUUAUAGCCUCUUGCCUAUGCAGUCGGAGAGAUUGAGGUCUGCAGCGUAGAUCCUUCGGGGCUAAAUGCAUUUGUGCUAAGUUAUAGCAUUUUAUAGACAACUUGUUGACUAUGAUUUGUCUUGUAGCUUACUCGCUUAUGUUAUUUUACCUACGCUUAGGAUGUUGAGUAGCGACAUACGCAC